rnacentral:lncRNA from 1 species
UUCUUUUUUUAUUCUCUUUCAUAUUUUUUUUUAUUUCUUAAUAUUAAUUUAAAUUAUUUAAAUUUUAGAUAACGUUCUUAAUAAAUCAAUUCAAAACUUAUUUAUUUAAUAAUAACUUUAUAUUUCAUAAAAUUAAAAGUAAAAGUUUAAAAAUAAAUUAAAAAAAUAGAAAAUCAAAACUUAUUUGGACAAAAGACCAUCAUGUCAUGACAUGGUCGACAAAAAGGUCGCUCGGCCUAGCAAGGCCUAAUCCGUGCCAUACUGGGCCACCCUAUGGCCUGAUUCCGACCGAAACGCCCUCCUUAAAAAGGAGAGGAGAUUGAUUUUCUUUUUUUUUUAAAAUUCUUUUAAUGCCACAUAACUUUAAAAAUUUUUAAUUUUGGCAAUAGAACUAUAUAAGCUUUACCAAGUAGUUCAAUUGCACUCUUGUCCUCAGGCAAAAUGUACUAAUUGAAUGCCUGUGUUUAGGGAUGCAAACGGGGCGGAUCCGGGGGCGGGAGAGUUUCCCCGCCUCCCGCUCCAUUUCUUAUCGGGGCGGGACGGAUUCGGGGCGAGUUACUUUUCAUUUUAUUUUUGGCUCUCACUUACCGCUCCAUUCGGGGCGGAUCGGAGCAGGAGCCGGAUUUUUGACGGAUCGGAGGGGAUUGAAGGAAGAAAAGAGUCUCCCACCUCCCGCUCCAUUUACUUGGCGGAUCGGGGCGGAUUCGGGGCGGGUUAUAUUUUUUUAUAUUUUUUGUUCCCACUUACCACCCCAUUCGGGACGGAUCGGGGCGGAGCUCCACCAACCCGGAUCCAUUUGCAUCCCUACCUGUGUUGGGUAUGUUAUAUAAAUGAUCUUGUAAAACUUCACAUGAAUUGCUUUAUUUUUUGUUUAAAAAAAAUGACUCAAAAGUAAAACCGGUAUUUUGUUCUAAACAUUUAAUUAUACUUCUUGAGUAAGUCCCAAUUAGAUAUCAAAAUGAGUUAUUCAGUGAUAUGUUAUCCGAUACAAGAUUUUGCUAUUAUGACUAGAAGACAAAAAUGUGGUCAAAUUUUCAGAAAAGAAUAACAUAUUUAACCAUUAAGUUGAUUUUUUGAAAUAAAAAUAUUACCUUGUAGGUGAAGUAUGAUAUCUUACUAAAUUAUAAAUAUUAAGUCAUUUCAAAGAACAAAAAUCAAACUCCCACCUUCCAAUAGCAAAAAUAAAUAAAAAAAACACAUUCCAAUUAAGCUAUUACUGAAUAACUUAUUUUGCCAUCCAAACAAGAGUAUAAAUUUAGGAAACAUUUGGUAUUAGGGUUGUAAGAUGGCCCAGCCGAUGUGAGGCUCAUUUCGCCAGGCUUUCGUACUCGAACUAGGGUUUUGGAUUAGGGUUUGGUUUCAAAAUUGCCAAAAUACGCUUUAUCCAAAUUUGACUGAAGCUGUCCGAAAAAAAAAAAAAAAAAAAAAAAAAUCUAUUAAAACUCGUUAUAAAGAAAGUAGAAGAAAGAGUUGGAUGACAUUUACCUUAUCACUUUAUUAAAUCUUAGCUGUUAACUCAACUUGUAUUUUUUACAAUCAAAUUAGUAUUUUGUUGAGUUAUGGUUGGGAUUGUAAGUAGCCACUAGCAAGAAUUUCUACAAGGAGCUCUUAGGAGGUUUAAAUAAUCUAUUUUCAUAUGGGAUUAGCAUGUUUAUUAUUCAAAAUGAGACAGAAAUAAAUAAUGCUUUUUGGGUGCACAAGUAGCAUUUCGUCAUGUAUGAAUAUGUGCGAAAGAGGCGGCAAAUUCUAUUAUAACCGAUUUUCGCAGAAGAGUAAAAUUGAAAUCAUACUGACAAUUUCAAUAUUUGAGAUUUUCUUGAAUUAAAAUCGGUUUUGUUGAUUAGCAAUAGCUAGUUUUUCUUUUCAGUUUCAAUUAAUUCGGAUUUCUACUCUUGAGAAGAACCAACAAAUUUAUAUUUAUUAUUCUUUUCCAAAUAAUUGUGAAGAUUCAAUUUAAAUUGUCUUGAUCAUGAAUUUACAGCUUAACUUUUGCAGAUUAGACAAAAAAAAAACUGAUUUAAACAAUUAAUAGUACAUAAAAUAUGAAUUGAAAAAUAGAGGGUGCUAUUUUUGAAUUACAGGGUGGCAAUACAAAUGGUCAAAAGAUUCCUUUUAAGAACCUUCCUUGUUUGCUCCCAAAAAACUUCACAUGGUAUAAAGUAUAAACCAUUCAUGUUCCUUUUCACCACAAAUAUGUGUACACAUUUGAGUAUUGAAAAGGUCAGCUCCCCCUUCCCCUUCUUUCCUGCUGCUUCCUCCAAUGCGUCACCCAAAAGGUCAGCAAAAAAAAAGGAAGAAAAUUAAUCAGAGUCAAUCAGUCCAUUUUAACAACUAUAAAGGUUUCUGGAACAAGCUUUGAGAGGGAGAGGACAAUGAAACUGGAACGAGAGAAAAUGAGCUGAACCUGAUCAAAAGCCACCACCAUUCGAACUUUGAAUUGAAAUGAACUAAAACUGACUUUCGCGCGCAGAUGUAUGAUAAAGAUUUUACUUGUUACAGUUUUCAUCAGGACAUAAACCAGCUCCAACUUCAAGCUACAUGGGAUCAAAUCCAAAUUGAAUGGCAUCAUAAACAAGCAUUUCACUUCAAGCUUUAAUUUCAGCAUAAAUUCGAGCCUCCAUAGAAACUUUAUUUGUCCAAGGCAAUAAAAGAACACCAGUAACUAUUUAAACUUUAGCUUGACAUAGAUCCCAACCACAUUUCAAAGAUAUAAUCUUAUAUUCUGACCUAAAGUUCAAUUUCCAAACCUAACCCACCAAAUGAAUGAAUGAAUGAAUGAUCACGCAGAUUUAAAACAAAUGAGGAUCAGCAUGACGGCCGGAUAUUUUAAUACGACAUACAUGUAUAGAUAGUUAAUGUCAUAACAUCAGAGUUGCUGAAAUAAGCUCAAAAGAGAAAAACCAAGCUGACAUUUAGCCGUAAGGUCAUAAGAAAUAUAAACAACAUAGGUACAUAAAGAAGGAUCCUAAGCCGUCCCUCCGCUGCCCCAAAGCAAAUCACAGAAGCUCUAAAAUCCAACAUAUAGGAUUGUAGCGUCAACUGCGAUUUAAGGCCCGUAGAACUUCUCGUGUCCUCUUUAAAAAGUCAGGAAAUUGAGACAAGAAUCAACAAAACAACUCCAAGGCAUUAACGAAGUUACUUACAAUCAUCUUCAGUUCCAUUAACCGAUAAACCAGAUUAACAUAGUUCGACCUACAUACACUUGGAACUGAAAAUAUAUAACUCGAUGAGUUAUUUCUACUGAACAAGCUCGUCAAGGUACUGGUCCAUGAUCUCGGAGACAGUUUCAAGGAACGCCAGCUCACUGGUGCCUGGGAGAACAGCAUCCUCCGCCUCACGGACGAUCUCUUCGAUCUUGGAUUCCUUCUUGAGAGUUUCCCUACACAUUAUGCUUCCUAUAUCAUAGGGAGUGAGCCCUUUUUCUGCACCCUUCUUCAAAAGCAUGGUGCUGAUGCGGAACACGCGAGAGCACUGGAGCGAGAGCUCCCAUCCGUGGAACUUGAGGAGGGCAAUAUCUUCUUCAGCAUCCAGGGUUCUUAUGUAGUCUAGAAUUUCGGUGCUAAAUGGUUGGCGAGCUUGGGGCCAGUAGAGCCACUCAAAGGUGCAAUCUGCAAACUGCGAUGGUAACAAAAGUUCAUCAACAACAAGAAAGUUUGAGAUAUUUACAACUCAAAGAUGAUGAUAUAUCCUAUAGAAUUACGAUACAUUUGGGAAUCCAACAGUUCAAUGAAAUAAUGUCAGAAGAUUGCAACAAAACAAGAUAAAUAAUCACGAAAACAAAUCAAACAAGCACAUUGAUGCUAGGAGGUUAUUUCAAGAGAAGUCUUGAAUGCAAUGAUUGCAGAGUACAUCAAUAACUAUCCAAAGAAUGAUCAUUCAGUUGAACAGAUAAUACACUGGUUCAACAAAAAUGAAAACACAAGUACACGACGAGUCAUUAAAAAAAUGAGAAAUCAAAAUGGAUGAUGGACCAUUUUCAAAUUAUUGAGAAAGAAUGAUGAAUUGGCAAAUUCAUCAGUUAGCAACACAACUUCACAUACAUAAUCAUCUCAUAUAAUUUGUAGAGAGAAAUAUAACUGGCAUUAGAUAACAUCACAUAAUUUGAAGAGGCUAGAACAAAUGACGAUAACUGUAUCAUGCAACACUGUAAAUACAUAGAGGCAACAAAAGUGUAAAUUGUUCUAAAUUCUUAACAAAAAAAAACAUCUUACAUAAUUAUACAAGUUUGUUUUAAUCACAAAUUGGCAUUACUUGAUAAGUGGCAUGUCAUUGGCACUAAGAACAGAAACAAAUGAGCUAACACAGUAAGAAACAAAAUCAGAACAUUAUGACAUUUGAUUACAGAGAAUGCAUGAGAUCUUGUUGAAAACCAUAUUUACAAACUGUUGUAGUAGAUAAAGGAAGGAAAAUAGCAACUAAUCAACACAUACGGCUAAACAAUUAAUCCAUAUUAAAAAAAUGAAACCAAUUAAAAUAUGCAUUGGAACAUUAAAAAUCAGAAUUUUUCUAAACAAGAAAAGAUGAAACUCACAUUUUCAGGCAAGCAAUAUCCAUGGUCAAUCGGCACGAGCACAAACCGCCCUUCUUCCCCCUUGCAGAUCAAUAUGUUUCCAGCAUGGCGAUCGGCAUUUGCCAACCUUAUAUCCAACACAGAUAUCUUAUGCACCUCCUCCACAGGGAAAGCUCUAGGACCCAUAUCCUCACAGCUCCCAUUGUUCUUCACAAACAUCUGUAAAGAACCGAUCUUAAAAUCUUUUUUAUGAUCGUAACCACCAUGUAAGCACCGAACCAAUACCGUUGGCGGAACCCCCGCAAGCCCGAUUUCAUCACACAACCGACGACCACCGAUUGGGUGGUCCAGAAUGUAUGCCGCGACCUCCCUCAGUGCACCUUCUCCGACCCUUGUUCCCCUCUUCAACCCUUCACCAUCGGUUGACAAGGGAAGCCCACGAGGGUUGUUCUCGGCCAUCGGUUCUUCAUCAAUCGGCUUAAAAACAGCCACAUACUUGUGACCGGAAAAAUCCUGCAUGAAGUAGGCCCCGCCCGAACCCUCUGCAGACAUAAUGGGCGGAUUCCCCUUCUCCAACCCAUCAAAUGUCUCCCUUAUCAUAUUCAUAACUAAUGGAGACAGUUCAACUUUCGGAUUGAUAACCACCGGCUCAACCCAAGAAUUCCUGCGUGGAAGAGGACUUCUGUCGAACACUUGGAGGGCAUCUAAUUGCAACUUUUCUUUCACAUCAGGGGCAACCACGGACAACUCAAAGUCCUUCCCAACAGGCUCAGCCCUGACCUUCGCUGACUUUCUGAUCAGCAGAUGGAUCACAGCAUCAUUACUUUUGCAUAUAUCGGUAAUAAGCCUAUGGUCUUCGAGCUCUUCACCAUCAAAUACAAGUUUUUGGUCCUCAAGAUCGCCAAAAUCCUUGCCCUUCUUGGCAAUCUGCUGCUUGAUAUACCCAAUGUUCCGGCUAUGCUCUACUUGGAAUUCAAAUUUCUUCCCGCAAACGGUUUUAACAGUGAUCACACGGAGAUUGGAAAGCCGGAUCACGAGAUAGAGCAUUUUCCCAUCGGUCACGCCAUAAUCGCGGACGAGGGAGUUGUUCCGAGCCAAUUCGCGUCCAUCAAAAACCAACUUUUGAUUCUUCACCACAAACCCUUUGAAUUGCUGGAUCCGAAGCUUCACCGAUUUGAUAGAAUCGGAUUCAAGGAUGCGGAUUGGGAUCGGCAAUGAGCCAGGAACAGCGAGGAAGAUCAAGAUCGGUUCCUGGGAGCAGUGCGGCGAUCUGCUCCCGUCGAAUCGGAUGGGCGAGAGGAUCGAAUCUUCCCUGAUCGGGCUGAGCGCGGCGCCGGCUGAGGACAUUUUGUUGUCCUAAUUUGUGUCGAGAAAAGAUACCCUCGCUGAUGAAGAAGGGCACCGAGAGUGGCCGAAAUCGGGCAAAUUUUACAGUAAAAUCUGUGGAGCCAUCUCAAAUUGGGGUUCUUUCCUUCUCACAAAUCGAAGGAGAAAACCCUAGAAAAGGAUCGAUCUCGAGCUCUACUCCUACAAAUUCAUCAGGAUCUCGAACAAUCCACGCGAAAUGAUCGCACCUUUGAACCAAAACCUACAAAAAACUACCUAAAUCAACAUCAAACUUAGGGCAUUCUCUCAGAACCCAAAAAUUCACAAAAAUACGGCGAUUUGCAUGAAAAAAUUACCAAAAAAUGCAAAAAAAAAUACAACAAAAAGAAAAAUGGGGGAAAAAGGAUCAUACGAGAAUCUCACCGCGAACCGAAAUUUGGAUCACGUCUCCGGCCCCGAUUCGCGCGACUCCUCGUCCCAAAAUCCAAUUUGUAUAUUUUCUUUUUUCCAAAAGUUCUUGUGGAGAAGGAAAAAUCUAGAAGUGGAGAAGAGGAGGAGGGUUGGGGAACGACACGAGGAAGAUGACGCAAACUCAGCGGACGCCCAUAUAUGGGGUUGGACCAGGACCUAACGGCAUUUUAACGGCGUUAGGGAGCCAGAGAGGGUGCGACCGUUUUGUAUGUACGUAGCUUCGUGGGGUCGAUUUUAGGUGUGAUUUUACGAAUUUGCCCCUGUGUUUAAAUGUAAGCACUACUAUGUGAAUGCAUUAGAGGUACAUUAGCUGUUACUAAGAAUUAAUUAAGUAAAUAAAACAAAAUUUAAAUAUUAAAUGUUUACAUAGACAUAGUAUUAACUGGAUGUUUUGGAUGCAAUAAGUAGGUACAUGCACUUCCAGUUGUUUAUUAAUGUUCACAUAUGUAUGAAAUAUAGUUAAGAGAAGGCCGGUGCUUGCAAUCUUACCACUCAAAAGAGAACAAAUGAAAGACUUUAAUUACUUUAUAACAUACUGGACUUUUAUUUUUUUUUUAUAUUCUAUAUAAUAUAUAUUUUUUCAAAGAUAUCAACGAACUAUUUUUCAUUCAUCUCUACAUUACAGAUAAUAAAUUUAUAAGUUUGAUGAGAGUUAAUCACUCUGUUAAAAAAUACUAAUUGAAAGUAACAGAGUGUAUAUUCAAUCAAUUUUUAUAAUAAAAAAGCUAAGAAAUACCAAAAAAUAAUUUAAAAUGAAAAAAUAAAAGCUUUAACUGGUAUUUUUUAAUAGAGUUGACUGCUUCGGUUAAAAUAAUUUAAAAUAUUUGAUUUUUUUUUUCAUGCUACAAGAUUGCAGUCGCAGUUAGGGGUGGAAACGAGCCGAGCCGAGCUCGAGCGAGCUUAUGUCAGCUCAAAUUCGGCUUGAAAUUAAUUUCGAGCCUAAAUCUAGGCUCAAGCUCGGCUUGAAAUUAAUUCGAGCNNNNNNNNNNNNNNNNNNNNNAAAAAUUGGCAACUAACUACGCUACACACCAAUCCUACUACCACCAGGAGUAAAUCUUACUAUCACCAGGGGAUCCCUAACUCACCCAUCAACUAAUUUAUCAUACUAGAUUGUCCACUUUAAUUGAUUCCCUAGCUGAAAUCAUUUUACACUGGUUUUUCCUCAAUUAUUAUCUUCCCCUAUCACUUGAUGUAUGUCGAUUAUAUGAGAUCUAUAUUUAGUGACGCGUUCGUUUUUCUCUAGAGGGAGGUUAAACCUGACUCCAAUAAUAAGGGGGGGGGAGGGGGGAUUUUAUCCUUUUUUUUUUUUUGGGAAUAGAUUAAAUAGUUUUUUAAUGAAACAUAAACUUAGCUUAAACUCAAAAACUUAUACUCAAAACUUUCCAAAAAAAAAAAAAAACCCAUUUAUCUAUUACGCCAAAAAAUGCUUGGGAGUGUUCGGCUACUAGGAGCGCGAGAGCGCUGGCCUGGGCUUCUUCUUGCAUCACUGGGACGACUUCCGCAAGCCCCUUACGGCUGGGGAAGCGCUCGAGCGGUUAAACCAUUGCGUAAGUCGAACAAAGAAAGCAAAUGCCGAAACUAAGCCGAAUGUCUUGUUGAAAAGAUGAAAAAAAAAAAGGUUAUUGUGUUUUUAACACAAGUUUUUAUAAUAAAAUUUUUUUUUUUUUAACCGUUGUUUUUAAGAUCUUGUAUACAAUGUUAUCGCUUGACCUUUUAGCUCGAGCACAAAUCAAGCAGAUAAUUUGCUCGCUCGAUAUAUAUAAGUUCAAUAUAGCUCAGCUUGUGUUCGCUCGGCUAAGGUCGAGUAUAAACCGAGUCAAUUCUAAAGCUGGAUUUCUUUAAUCGAAGUAAAAGCUCGGCUUGUGAUCGACCGAGUGCUUAUUGCUCGACUUAACGGUCGGGAUGACUAGUAUAUCGAAUUCGAAAAUUUUUUAUUGUCAAUAAUAAUAUAUAAGAAAUUGUACCAUAGUUUUGUCUUCCAAGUGACAUUGCGCGGAUUAAUUUUAUGUAGUGGGGAGGUUUCCCGUCUCCGUGUAAUAAACAAACUUAAUAAUUAAACAAUAAUAAUAAUAAUAACAUCAAUUAUAAUAAUAAUAAUAAUAAUAAUAAUAAUAAUAAUACGUCUCGGAUUAUAAUCCAUUAUCCCUCCUGUAUCUCCUCUACUCGCUCUUGCCACGCUGCCAAGAGUGUUGCCACGAGUUCGAGUAGCUGUCCAUGCUAGAGAUGCCUGUGCACCGCAUAGGAUUCGUGGUGUGGGUCAACCUGCAGGGGGCAUAAAUGGCGGAACGUCGUUUUUGCUUCCAGUUAGGAAAAAAGAAAGAAAGAAAAAAAAAAUAAAAAUAAAAAAAGAUUUGCCUCAGAUUGUUCAAGAGGCUAAAAAAAUUUUUUCAAAACCAAUUAUUUACAAUAAGUAUAGUGGACUAUAACAAGCUUAAAAGAACUAAAAAAACAUUGCUAAGCUAGGUGAUUAUUAUUAUUAUUAAACAAUCCAAGCUUAGUAACUAGGUUUUAUAAAUUCGGGAUAAGAAUAAGCUACACCCUGGUAAAAAUCCAGGACUGCAAAAGCAGUUAGGUUAGUGUGUCGAGUUCUAGUGGUUUACAUUACUAGGCUAGACAAUCGUUAUUAUUGAAUAUGAAUUCAAAUCAAAAAUAAUAAUCUCAGGUAUCAGUGAAUAUAUAGGUUAGUGUUUAGUCAAAAGUAGGAUAUAUCUUGAUAACCCUAUAGUAUGAAAGAAAUUUUUUUUUUUUUUUUUUUGAGGCUCGAAAAGCUAGCACGGUUUAAAUUAGGUCCGGUCCGGCACGGCACGAGGCUUGGCCGGAGAAUUUUAAAAAUAAAAAAUAAAAGAAUUUUUGUAUUUUAAAUUUUAUAUUUGUUAUUUAAUAAAGUUAAAUUUAAUUAUAAAACUAAUUUUUAAAUUUUAAUUACUUUUAUUAAGAUUUUAUUGUUUAUAAGUUUAAAUAAAGUUUAUAUAUAGUUAAAAAUAAUAAAAAACUUUUUUUUUUUUUCCUAACUCUACCAAAAACCAGUUUACUUGCUUUUAACAGACCAGGCAACCUGAUUUUUACGAGGAGGGUUCUAAAAUCCUCCUAUCUAAGACCCCUCUUCCCGGAAGAGGGAUCUUCGAGUAUGGGAUUCCGAACUACGGAACAUCCCGACCGUUUGCUCGCUCGGCCGAGCGCAAGCUGAGCACAAGCCGAGCUAUAAGCCGAGCGAGCUCGAGCUGAGCUUUAAUUUACUCGGCUCGAACUUGUUUUAUUUUCCGAGCUUUAAGUAAAGUUCGGCUCGAACUCAUAAUGAGCCGAGCAAGCUUAAUCCGAGCUUUUCGAGCUUUUCGAGCUUUUAAAAAUUGGCAACUAACUACGCUACACACCAAUCCUACUACCACCAGGAGUAAAUCUUACUAUCACCAGGGGAUCCCAACUCACCCAUCAACUAAUUUAUCAUACUAGAUUGCCUACUUUUACUAAUUACCUUAUUUAGAUUCCCAGCUUUUGAAUACUCAUAUUUCCUCGGUUAUGAGUAUUUUCAUAUCAUCGGCUUGAUAUAUAUAUAUAUAUAUAUAUAUAUAUAUAUAUACAUAUAAUUUUCGAGCUUUUCGAGCUUUUCGAGCCUAAUUCGAACGAGCCGAGUAAUACUCAAGCUCGGCUUGAAAUGAAUUUCGAGCCUUUUAUUUUGUUCAAGCUCGGCUCAUUUAAUUUCGAGUCGAGCUCGAGCGAGCCGAAUAUCGAGCCGAACACGAGUCGAACACGAGCCGGCUCGCUCGUUUGCCAGCCCUAGUCGCAGUCAUUACUGUAAAUGCUUAUAUGUCUCUCCAAUGCAUGUUUCCACACGUAGUUUUAUAUCAUUGAAGAAGAAAAAUUUUACAUUGUUUUAUUUUCGAUUUUCUAAAGAGGUAUUUAGUUUUUCAUACAUUAUCAUAAAACGUAAUUUUCUGACUAAUUUUUUUUUUUUAUCCAUUUAAUUUAUAGAAGAAAUAAUUUUUACAAUUUUUUCUCAAAUUUUAUGGAAAAAAAGUAUUUUGUUUCUCAAAUUGUUUUCAAAAACUAAAAAAUGUGAAAAAAAAUAUUUUUUACUAUUCCAAAAAAAUAAACCAAACAUCCUCUACAACAUAAAAUAAAUAAUUUUAGCCACCGCCAAAUACUUAAAUUACAAAGAGACUCGACACUUAAAUUUAACGUGUUAAAUAAAUACUUAAAUUGGCUCCAUUGAACACAGCUGGUGAGGCUGAGACCACAAUAAAAACCGCCGCUUUGGUUUACCCAUCGAACCCAUGGGCAUUUUGGUAAUUUCACCUGCUGCUUCGGAGCUAAGAGCGCUUCGCAGGCGCUGACGUGGCGGCAGGGGAUGCGGACGAAUGAAACGUUGGCUACGACGCGCCCAUCACGAAAACGCUGUUAAAGUUAACGGCGGCAGUGACGUGUCUCCGUUAAGGUGGUAAACCGUGUGCGCAAGUAUCGGACCGCUCCGGAAAAGUGUAACGUGGUCCCCAAUCCUUUCAUUUCUCGUCUCAGCGAAUUUACACUUUUACCCUCCGCUUUCGCUUUGUACUUUAUCCCCAUUUUCGCUAGACGACGUACAAAAUGUACCAAAUAAUGUGCCCUUUUCAUGAUUGAUUUGUGAAUUGUGAGUAAACUUGUGAAAUUACAAACAAAGAUUCUAGAAGAAAUAUUUUACCUACUCAAAAAAUUUGACAACACGUUUUGGCAAUUUGGUCCACCGUAGUUAGUUGUCACUGCACUGUGAUUUAAAUUGCAUUCAAAUUUAAAAUCGGUGCCUUGCAUGAUAUAUUUGAAUUUAAUGAUUGCAGUUCUAACCGUACGAGAGAGCUUAGAUGCAGCAGUUGAAACUACGCUCAAAUUAGUCAUGAUUUCAAUUAUAAUAUUUUUUUUCUAAGAGAGAAAGAUGAAUGCUAUCUCUUUUGUUUAUUUUUGAGAAAAUAAAGUUAGAUUGAAUAUGUGAAAUAAUUAGAUUUCAAAGUCGGAAUCUCGGAUUCCCAUCAUCAAUUUCUUUGCCACCAACACCGGAGAUGAUCACUCCAACUACAGUAAGGGACUGUUUGAUUAAAUGUAAUUAUAAAUACAGUGUAGUUGGAGAUGCAUAUAGUUAAAAAUACAGCAGUUGUAAUUACAUGCAUCCUAUUUGGUUGGAUGUAUUAAAAGGUGCAACUAUAAAUAAUUUGUUUGAUUAUAUGCAGUUGAGAAAUAAUUUUUAGAAUUUUAUUAUAGCGAGUUUACCUCAAAUAUAAAAAAAAAUUUUAUUUUUUGUUUAUAAAAUAAUUGAGUAAGAAUACCUUUUGAUUAAAGCUACUCUCUUUAACUGCUGUAGUUGAAACUGCGACCAUUUUGAGCGUAGUUCGAACUGCUGUAAUUGGGCCUCCUUUUGCAGUUACUACUACAGCAAUUGGAGUUAAAUAUAUUAAACAAAACAUCAAAUUUGUAUUUGCAUACAGUUAUAACUGCAGUACCGUUAUACCUACAUGCAACCAAAGAGUCCCUAAUUGAAGAGAUCAAUGUUCGAUAAAGAGUAACUUUACACCUCUCUUAUAACAUUUUAGACAAUAUUUUUUUCUUAAAUAGGAGCUAAUCUCACCAUCUAUAUAUAAAAUAAUAAAAUUCUAUAAAUUCACUUUUCAAACGCAUACAACAAAAUAAAUUAUUUAUAGUUAUAAUAUUUUUUUACUAUAUUCAACCAAAUAAGAUGUAUAUAAUUAUAAUUAUUAUAUUUUUAAAUACAUGUAUUUUUAAUUAUACUAUAAUUAUAAUUACAUUCUAUUGAACGGCCAUUUAUGCUACAUUGAUACAAUUUUUUUUAGCGCAGUUUGUUGUUAUCCUUAAAUUCUUAGCAUAUGAGCCUCGAGUAGAAAGGAUACGUUCCUUGUAAAAAUUUUGUAGAAUUGUUUGUAAGUAUAAUAUAUUCGUGAUUUAUCUAGCCGUCGAAUAUUUAGCGAAGACUAGGGCAAUUUUACAAAAAUCAGCUAUAGCUAUUAAUCUCCCAAAUAAAAAAUUUAGUGUUGAUUUUAUAAUAUUAUCGAUAUAAUAAUGUUUGACGAAAUACUAUUUGAAUAUUACUAUAAAAAAAAAGACACAAAAUUAACAUUUGAACAAUUUUCUUUUUAAUGAAAUUAGAAACAUUAAGUUGAAGAUUUUAAUUUUAAUACUAACAUAACCGACCAUCUCUAGUGCAAGUGGCAAAAUGUUUGAUGGUUGGUAUCCAAGAUCUCAAGUUCGAAUCCUAGUUGAUUCACAUUUCUAAUUAAAUUAUUUCUAAAUCUAAAUUAAAUAAAGAAAGCGGAUAGUAUACUUACCUAUCUCUCAAAUGAAAAAAUUUAAUGAUAACAUCUACUUCAUAUUUAAUUUCUAGUAUUGAAAUUGUAAGCGAAAAUAGAAUUCCACUAUUGAAAUGGUAAGCGAAAACAGAAUUCUUAAUUUCAAGCUUUUAUAAGUGUACAGAAACAGAAGUAAAUAUUAGAGACAUUUGAAAAGAGGUUAAAAACUAAUCUCGAGCGAGACAUCUGAAAAGAGGUUAAAAACUAAUCUCGCUCAAACGCUCAAAUAGCGUUUUAUUGAGUGCUUUGACCAAGCCAAACUGAUUCUAAAAUGUCUAUGUACAUUUUAGAGUAUAUUAGUAGGACUAUAAUAUAAAAAAUUCUCAAGUAAAAACUUUUUUUUUUACUUUUUCAUUUUGACUUUAAAAAAUACCUUUAAAAUUUCAAGUUGAUGCACUUAAGCCUCCCGCUGUGAGGAUUUCAUUACUAUUCCGUUUAUUUAUUAAAAUCUAUGACAAAAAUAUCCAAAAAAUCCUUAAAAAUAUUAGAAAUAUAUUAAAAAUAUAUUUUUUUAGAAUAAGUAAGAACAAUCAUUUCGUCCCUCUUAAAUGCCAUAAUCUCUAAAAAUAUUUCUAAUUUUUUUUAAAAAAUUAUAGAUCUAUGAAAAUAAAAAAAGAAAAAAAAUCAGAAAGAAAAAGAGUAUUUAUUUAUAGAAAAUUUUUUGGCCCAUUAGUGGUAAUACUUUUUCUAAAAGCUAGUUCCCUUCUCUACUAUUCACUUUUAGCAUAUAUAUAUUGAAGGUGAAGAUUAGUUGGAGCAUUGAAAGAGAAAUAUUCCACGCGCUUUUCCCAUUCCUCUCACUAUCAACUCCCUCAAAAUUGGAAAAGAUUCAAAAGCUACAAAAAAAAAAAAAAAAAAAAAGAAGAAGAAAAGUUUCUUUCAACUCAACUCUCUUUAAGCUUUUUCUUUUGUUUUUUCCCCCUUCAAUAAUUAGUUUGGGAAAAAAAAUUUAUAUUUUAAUGCCACACCUUACAUUACAUUAAUUUCACAAGAGAGGUAAAAAAAAAAAAAAGAUCAAGACCCUGGACAGUAGGGCAUUUUGAGAUAGCUGAUAGCUCUCUCAACGUUAUUUUUUAUAUUAUUGAUAUCUUACUCACUCCAAAUGGGCUAGUCCGGAUUAGCCCAUUUGGGUGGAGUUAACUAACCCCACCCACCCGAGGAAUAGGAGUGGGAUAAAAGUUAAUCUCAUUCCUAUUUAAUUUUUAAUAUAAUUUUAAAAUUUUAAUUUUAUAUUAUAAAUUUUAAAAAUAUAUAAUUUCUAAUUUUAAAAUUAAUAUUAAUAUUUUUAAAU